rnacentral:rRNA from 1 species
GUCCUUUAGAAUAUAAUUUAAGGUCUAAUCUGCCCACUGAAUAUUAAAGGGCCGCAGUAAUUUGACUGUGCAAAGGUAGCAUAAUCAUUAGUUUUUUAAUUGAAAGCUUGUAUGAAAGAUUGGACGAAGUAAAUUCUGUCUCUAUUUAAUUUAUUAUAGAAUUUAAUUUUUAAGUUAAAAAGCUUAAAUAUUAUUAAAAGACGAGAAGACCCUAUAGAUCUUUAUAUUAUUUAUAUUGAUUUUAAUAAAGAAUAUUUAAUUUUUUAUUAUAAAUAAUAUUUUAUUGGGGUAAUAAAUAGAUUUAAUAAAUUCUUUUUUUUAUAUUCAUUGAUUAAUGUUUAUUUGAUCCAAUUAUUUUGAUUAUAAGAAUAAGUUACCUUAGGGAUAACAGCGUAAUUUUUUUUGAGAGUUCAUAUCGAUAAAAAAGUUUGCGACCUCGAUGUUGGAUUAAAAGUAAUCUUAGGUGCAGAAAUUAAGGUUUGGUC